rnacentral:misc_RNA from 1 species
AGAAGCUCACCGUAGGGCGUAAACCUCCUUUCUCUAGGUGGGACGAGUUUCUUUUUUCUUUUGUCGCCGAUUUCAGUUUAGCGUUUACAUAACUCUACAACUCUCAUUAUGAUUUUAUGAAACAGAGAGCAACGUGGAAGAAAGAGCAGUGCUUUCAGUUUUCUGAGUGAAAGUCCUUGGUUAAAGGAAACAAAAAGAGCAGGAAAAUCCUUACUGUUGAUUGCUUAAUACAAAUUUGAUUUCAAAAUCUUUCACUUUUUUGAAACCCUUUUCCACUGCCAACAAUUAAGCCUCAACAAGUUUCUGACUUGGUCUUUCCCUUUCCAUUCUGAAUGCCAAUUUCAAUUCUCUGUUAUUUCACGUUAUCGCGUUGGAGGAACUCAUAAUGGCGUCAAAGCUACUUAAAAUUGGUAUGCACGAGGCCAAAAACUAGUUGGAAGUCUCUCUAAGGCAAGCUUUUGAGGAGCUUAAACCUAAACUAAGACCCUUCUUUUCCCUGGCCAUCCCAAGCGUUCAAGAAUACUUACAGCUUAAACGUGCCAUUCUUUACGGGCUUUUGACUGAACCCCAGCUGGCCAAAACCCAUGUUAAGCAUCUACAUGCCAUUGUUACUGAUGGAUAUGCAUUUUUUAUUCAUUUGAUGGUCAAAAUCGUUAAUGAUUUGUAUGCUAAGCUUGUUGAUUCAGUAAAGGUUCAGUUGAUUUGGAUCGUUAAAGAAAUGGUCGGUGUUUUAGGAGUUGGUUUUGGUGGCUUGUUGGUGUCUUUGUUGAGGCAAAUUAUCGGUGGGGAUUUUAGUGAUAGGAAUUUGUGGUUGUGUUUCGAGUUGGUGAACCUUUUCCUGAGUAAAUGGGAUUGUUUAGUAGAAGAAGAGCCAUUGGUUUUAACUAGUGCACUGUAUGCAUAUCUUAGGUUGUUAGCUGAUCAUUGUAGGUUAUCAAGCAAUGUGAAGCUAGAGUCUCUGAAACUACUAGAGAUUAAAUUUUGUGUGAAAAUGUUGAGAGAGCAAUUUCAUUUGUGUAUGAAGAUUGGGAGGGACCUUAUUAGAUUACUGCAAGAUUUGGUUCAUGUCCCUGUGUUUCGAGCUUUAUGGAAGGAUUUGGUACUGAACCCAGGUGAGUUUAGGACAGCAGGAUUUUCAGAUGUUUCUCAACUGUACUGCUCCAGGACAUCAAGCCGGUAUUUUUUGCUCCGGAUAACACCUGACAUGGAAACCCGGUUGAGGUUUUUGCUUACGCACGUGAAGUUUGGGAGUCAAAAGCGGUACCAAUUAUGGUUUGCAAAGAAGUUUCUUUUGGGACCAGAGAAAGAGACUCUUAUAGUGGACAUUGUUAGAUUUAUAUGUUGUGCACACCAUCCAUCCAAUGAAACUAUCCAGUCAGACAUCAUACCAAGAUGGACUGUUAUAGGAUGGCUAUUGAAAACUUGUAGAAAAAAUUAUGUUCAAGCCAAUGUGAAGUUGGCCUUAUUUUAUGACUGGCUUUUCUUUGAUGAAAGAAUUGAUAAUAUAAUGAAUAUCGAGCCAGGAAUGCUAUUAAUGGUAUAUUCAAUACCCAAAUAUAUUGACAUGACUCACUCUCUUCUUGAGUUUUUGUUGCUGCUUGUGGAAAAUUAUGAUGUGCAUCGUACACAUGUUAUUGUUAGGGGUCUGUCAUCAGCUUUCAAUUCACUAGUUCAAAAAGGAGUGGUUCGCUCGCUGGAUGUUUUGACAUCAUGUGAUGCACUUUCUCCUUUUUUGAAAGAGAGACUUGGGAGGUUAUUGUCAAGUUUGAAAGUGGGUGUCCUUAACAAGAUACAGCUUGCCCAUCGUCCUCAUGACUUUGUACCGCCCUUGAGUUUGCAAAAUCUGUCCCGUCUGAAAAGUCCAAUGCCAACACUGGAACAACCUCCUGCAGAUGAGGUGGAAGUUAGACUUAAUACUGAACAUGCUAAUACUUCUUUUACUUUUUCUGACAGCUUGGUUACUACUUCUUGCCCAUCCAUUAGCACCAGUGAAAGUCAAAUUGAUGCUAUUGAGAAUUUGUUACAAAACCUUGCAGAUGGUAUAAAGAAGUCAAGUGCACUGGGUCUUCAGAUUUUGGAAGCAAUACUUCUGUCACUUGUGAAUUUGGAUGAUCAAGCACCAACACUUGUUUCAAUUUCUCCUGAAAUGUUAUGUUCGAGAAUAGCAGAUCAAUUUGAAUCAAUUGACUGCAAAUUAUUUUCUUCACCUGAUAACAUUCCUAGUGCUUCUUGUUCUGGCUAUGAAAUUAGGUCUGCGACAGCCUUAUUGACUCGUACCUUCAUAUUGUCACAGCAUCAGAGGAUGCAAGGAAUGCUUUUAUUCUGGUCAAAGAAUGAUUUUCCUGUAGGAGUACACUUAUUGUCUUAUGCAUCACAGCUAGCUUAUGAAGCACAUGCAGCAGGUUACUUGGGAAAAGCAAGUGCAAUAGUUGACAACAAUUUUGCUAAGUUAUGUAAGUCAGACUUCCCAUUAUUGAAGUUUCACAUUGAUGGAUAUUUUUCUUUGCUUAAUGGAAGAAUAGAACAUUCUCUUGAAGGCACUGUUCCUACUUCUGAAACGGAUAAGUUUAUUACCAAGUUGGUGGAAAAUGCUUUUGCUGCUUACAAAUGUUUUCUUGAGUGCUCUAGAACUGCUUUACACAAAUUAGAUGAUAUAUCUUUGUCCAAGCUCCUUAUAUGUGACAUAGUUUCAUGUUUAGUGUGGGAAAGAAAAAAAGCAAAGUUCUUAUUCUGCAGCAUCUUCCAUCACUUUGCUGAUCUAUGCAUUGGUGAGGAAGAAAUUAUAAGGUUACUUGUGAGUCAGUUGGAUCAUGCUGAUCUUGUUGAUAUACAGUUUGAAAUUGGAUUGAAGAAAUUCUCUAUUUUCGGGGAGAACACUGAGACCAUUUUUGUCUUAGUGAAGAAUUCACUUAGCUGGGAUUCUUUGGAGCAGCAUAAGUUUUGGGGCUUGAUUAGAUCAGAGCUUGCCAUUUCCAAGGUUCAGGUGGAAAAGAUAAUUUUGCAAUUUCUUUCCUGUGCUGAUCUGGAUGCUAAUAUUAGUGCCAUUGCAGUUGCAGGCCUUCUUACGUUGUGCAGUAGUUGUGCACCCACACCUGAGCUUGUUGGGACAAUCAUGAUACUGCCUGAUAAUGUUUUCCUGGACUUUGCUGCUACAUCUUUGGCUACAUGGAUUAAGUCCAAUCCCUCAAUGCUAUUUGACAGUUUGGUGAAAUUUUCAGAGAAACUUGACAAGACUGGUGAUGUCUCUGCUGGGAUUACAAUUAAUCGUUCUGCAGUUCUAUGGUUAUUGAAUUAUUUUACCACACAAGGGUUGAAUGCCUCUGAUAUGUUGAGCAAUUUAUCCUCAAAUAUUCAAGGUGGAUAAGUGACACCAUCAUGGUGGAAUGGGAAUAUUAAAUAAUGGUUCAUUCAUCAUAUGGCAAAGAGCUGAUCCUACAACCUAUUUGAUCUGGUUCCAUGAAAUUCCUUUAUCUGUUGCUUAAUGGGCUUAUGUUAUCCUUGCUCAUUAUUUUGUUUAUUGGGAAGGCGGCUGUGGCUUAGACCGAGACAAAUCAGGAUAAGCUUACGAUAUUGUGACAGCAAUUCUGAUUUUCCUACAGAAAUCACCUGUUUAUGAUGGGCUUUACCGAGGAUGGCAUGAUAUGCAAUGAUGAUUGCAAUGCGUGUUUCUACACUCUCUUGAUUUUUAAGGAUAUCUGCUGCUGUAUUCAAGUGAGAAGAUGAAUACAAGGAUAUUCACUUUUGCCGUAUUCACUGCUAGCCAUGAAUUCAACGCCAAAUCUCUCAAGCAUUUCAUAUUAUAGUCAAAUGUGAAAUGGCCAACACCCUCUUGCUGAAUCUAUCCAAGGCAUGUGAUGAGAACUCAGUUUUUGAUCUUCAACAAGUGUUAGAAAAGUUCACUUUCAGUACCAUAGUCAAAUCUGGUCACUAUCAGAACUUCUGUCACCAGCUUUUGAACCAGCACCUUCUACAACACCAUGCGGUGAGGAAAUGGAGCAAUGACUGAGGUUGGAAAUGAGCUCCUGUCAGUGUCUGUUUCAUGGUCAAGUCCAUUUAGUCAUGGGAUUGAUCCUCGGAGGGUAGUUGCCAGGAUCCCAGGAGUGGCUGUCCUGAGGAUUGUUAGUGACAUGUCAGCUAUGAAGAGGUACUAUGAACAGCAGCAGUCCAUAACUGAGCUUAGAGCCAUAGCAUUUGCGGAGGCUCAGUUGGGGGAGCCACUGAGGGAGGAUGGUCCAAUUCUUGGAAUGGAAUUUGAUCCCCUGCCACUAGAUGCUCUUUGUGCACCUGGGUAAGUUUGAUUCUCAUAUGCUAUCAUUUGGUCCUUUCCCUUUUUUUUAUGAUAGUUCAUAGAAAUGGAAAUCCUUUUUGAAAGUCUGGAAACUUGCUAUAAUUGACAGCCUUUGUUAGGACAAUAUCAUAUGGAUAAUAGCAGUCAGGAUUAUUUAUGAUAUAUAUUUGGAUCAGGAACAUUGAUGCAUGUCUUUGUUAAUCAUUUAAAAAGUUGUUCUUUGUCAAUGAGAUGGAUUGGAUGAAUCUAUGAAACUUAAGUGUCAAUGAGAGAUGACAUUGGUGCUUCUUUAUAUGGCCUAAACUAUAAUGUUAACCGAGACGAGAUGUUUUCUGUGGUAGGUUACCCAUUCCUUGCUAUUUGGAUUACCAAAUGAAGAGAGCUUGAGCGUAAAGAAUUUUGCUGGAAUAUGGAAUACUGAUGCCAGUGACUCUGAAUUAUGCAGGGAUGUCACUGUUCAAAAAUUAAAAUCCACGGGUGAUGAGUUUCUUUGGGCUACUUAGCAAGCAGUUUUAUAACAAGAUUUUCAA